UUGUCUGUCGGCCGCUUCCCGCUUA
rnacentral:piRNA from 1 species